GUGGAAGACUGCAUGGAAGCAGCAUGGAGAGAUUUUCCCAGUGACAAAAACUGAAGCUGAAUUUAACUGAAGCCAGCUACAGCUGCAAUACAAAGUGCCAGAACCAAGAAGAGGCCUCAGGUUUCUGCAAAACUUGGAAGUUUUUUACUGCUGUAGCUGAAGUCUAGGAAUAACAAAGCUUGCAGCAACACUGUUGGAGGGAGCCCUCUGCAUAGUGUUAAGACAAAGAUUUUUUAAGUUUGGAAAACACUGGAGAAAAGCACCAGUCUAAGCAAAAGCAGAAUUGCCCUCAGCAUGGCUUGUGACACCCCAACAUAG
rnacentral:lncRNA from 1 species